CCCUUAGAUGUUCUGGGCUGCACGCGCGCUACACUGAUACUUUCAGCGAGUCCACCACCUUGCCUGAGAGGGUGGGGUAACCUCUGGAAAGUGUAUCGUGAUGGGGAUCGAUUAUUGUAAUUAUUAAUCUUCAACGAGGAAUUCCUAGUAAGCAUGUGUCAUCAGCCCGUGCUGAUUACGUCCCUGCCCUUUGUACACACCGCCCGUCGCACCUACCGAUUGAAUGGUCCGGUGAAGCCUCCGGAUUGGCGCGCACCUCGGUGCCGCCGAGAAGUUGGCUAAACCUUACCAUUUAGAGGAAGGUGAAGUCGUAACA
rnacentral:rRNA from 1 species